UCCUCGAUAGCUCAAUGGUGGAGCAACCGGCUGUUAACCGGUAGGUUGCUGGUUCGAGUCCAGCUCGGGGAGCCA
rnacentral:tRNA from 6 species